GAGAUUAAAGCCAAAAUGAUGGAGGCAGUGAAAAAGGGAGUGACGUUACCUAAAAUCCAGCCCAAGUUUGAGAACUUUGUGAAGAAUGGCUACAGAGUGUCAGAUGCCAAGGUUAUUGCUGAGCUGUGGAAGUGGAGACAGACGGUCGCGGGUGCUAAAUAACAGUCUAAACAACAGUAGUUUUAUUCUUUUUAUGACUUGUUUGUACCCAGAGCACCUCUCAAACCAAACUCAGUGCCUCACUGUUGAUUCGUUCUAAGCCAGUCCAGCUUCUUCUGCUCUCCUGUAUACAGAGACGACACAGGUUGUGAUGUGGGUGGUGGCAGUGCAUCACCCUCUCGUUGGGGCAGAUAAAUGAUUUGGUUUGUUAAAUAAACCCUGCAACAACCAAUUUACAAAUUUGCAUCUUUAAAUAUGUGUAAAUAAAAUACUUGCUAGUUGGCACCAGAGUAUGGAGGUUAUCUUUUCUUUUUGUUUUUGUUAUAAUCAACAGCCACUGAAAUAUUGUAUGAGAAUUUAAAACAUCCAGACACAUAUUUUACCGUCCAGGAAAUUUUUUUUUUUUUUUAAACCCUUUGGCCUAUAUAUAGUAUAGGCCAAAGGGUCAAGUUUUGAAAUCUAAUCGACUGAAUGUUUGAAGGAAUGUGCAAAUUAGUUUAGUUGAGUUACGAAAACUUUCCACCAAGUGUUACAGAUAUGGAGAAUUCUUAGAAAUGUUCCACAUAGUCAACAUUUAAUAAAGCCACACAUUCUGUGCUCAUUUGACCAGUUUUAAUAAUAAUGCAAAUGUCUGUGUGUCCGGCCCGUGAAAGCAGAAGAUCAUUCCAUGUUAAGAAACGUGUUAAACGUGUAUGUUUGUAUGGCUCUAAAUGUAAUGUAGAUGGACUGUCCCCAGAAUGAUCAAAUAAAACAAAUAAUGUAGAGCUGUAUCGUUUCUCUACAGUGAAGAAAAGUGCAGUGAUGUUUUUUUGUUUGUUUUUAUGUCUUACAGUCUGCAUAUGAAACCUUUCCAGAACAGAAAUCUAUCAUUCUUUUUUUUUGUUGUUUGUUUUUCUGGUGCUGUGUUCUUCCCAG
rnacentral:lncRNA from 1 species